rnacentral:rRNA from 1 species
UACGUAGGGUGCGAGCGUUAAUCGGAAUUACUGGGCGUAAAGCGUGCGCAGGCGGUUUUCCAAGACAGAUGUGAAAUCCCCGGGCUCAACCUGGGAAUGGCAUUUGUGACUGGAAGGCUAGAGUGUGUCAGAGGGGGGGUAGAAUUCCACGUGUAGCAGUGAAAUGCGUAGAGAUGUGGAGGAAUACCGAUGGCGAAGGCAGCCCCCCUGGGAUAACACUGACGCUCAUGCACGAAAGCGUGGGGAACAAACAGGG